AUGUAAAAUGUGGAACGCUUCACCCAGAAUAGAUUUGUAGCAGCAGUUAUGAUUCACAGAUGCUGGGUUCUUGCUGACCCUGAUUCCUUUCUUCACACUGAACUCAGAAUUGCUACAUCAGUUUUGGAACGUAGCCUGAUUUCUCCUGCCAGAGGCUUUGAUCUGCAACAGUCCUCUCUACUCACCUACCACAGAACUAC